rnacentral:lncRNA from 1 species
AUGAUGCUGCCUACCUCCUGCACAGACCAGCACCCACCAAGGUGUGCAGGAAUUGUGUUACCAAUGCUGUCUUGUGCUGUGCUGAUGUAUGCUGCUAACACUGCUCUCAGAAAAGUGAUUCCUGAUUUCCAAUGUCUCAGCAUCAAGUGGAGAACUAUUUCUCUUUCACAGGGGCUUGCCUGGAGGCAAAGAGACAAGAACAACACACUCACUACUGGAGACCUGCAUAUUUAUAGCCAGACACUGGCCAAGUCCAGCCGAGUGCACCACUGGUGUCAUCCCGAAUGGAUAGGCAAUGUCCAUCUGCAUGAUACAGCACUACUUGUUCAAGACAAUUCACCAGUAUUUUGGAGAUUUGUUGAGAUGUUCUUGCAAUUUGACUUCUACUCAGAAAAUAACCAAACAUCAUGUAUGAGGGAAUGGAUGGAUGUGUGCCACAUGUCGGAAGAUAUAUAUUUUUUCAAAUGCAGCAUAACGUGAACACUAGAAUUGUUUCCUGGAGAAAAUGUGUGAAAUUCUACAAGGGGGUAAAAACCAAUAGGAAUGUAGCAUUUAAAGGUAUGUUUGCCCUGCACAGAACAGUGUUCUGUAGAGAACCUGGGGUUAACCCCAAGUGAGACCCAGCAGUAUAGGCUAGACCAGGCUUAGCACUUUGAUUGUGCUUCUUCUGAAAUGGCCUUGCUUAUAAGGUAGUUCCAGCUCAUUGUAAUGCUCUGGUAAGGCCCAGAGGCAUACAUGUAGCUACUGAAAAGCAGAGGAAUGGGCACCAAGAGCCACUGAAGCUGCUUUACCAAAAUUCCUUAGAGGAAACCUCUGUACAUACAGUCAAGUUAAACCAUGGUUCAGUUCUCUAAGUACCUUAUUUUUUUUUUUUAAUUAUUUAUUUAUUUUUAAGUGUAUGGGCUGAGAAGAAAAUUGAGAAUGGAGAGGCCGUUCUCCAGUAGAAUGCUGUUUAUAGUCCUUCUUGAGAAGAAAAUGAGACAAUAGAGAAUGAGAAUGAAGGGUGGAGGGUUCUGCCCAACCCUGUUUGACCACUGUUGGGUGUUGUGAGCAUGACAAUAGUGUUAUAUGGCAAGAACACUGAGCAGAUAUUUAUAAGGAACCUCCUUUCUCUGUGAGGAGCAAUAUGGUAAAAAAACUAAGAUGCUUGUUUAUGUAUUGGAGAAGUGCCAGGAGUAAAAGUGAGCUGAGUGGGGGUGGCAAUUGGCCUUCUCACAUUCACACCAUGAGAAAUUAUAGGCAGGGACAGGCUGUGGUGAUUUUGAAUGUGAAAAUAAGAAGACAUUAAAGAGAUUCCUAGAAAAGAUGAUGAAAUCCAAAUAAUGGAUUGGAAAAAUAACCCAAGCAACUGACUACCAGUAGAACUAUAUUUCAUUUAGCAGGGGAAAAGAUAAAAGAAAAAAAAAAAAGGAAAAGAAAAAGAAAACGAAAAACGGAGAUGCAAAAUGAUGAGAGACUGAAAGGAUUUUUUUUAUUAUUAUUUUUUUUCACAGAGAUGUUAGAAAAUCUGUAGCUCGGGAAUACCUUUCAGAUAGUGUGUGUGAAAUAUAUACAUCAUCCAAGCUGCGAGGUUCUAGAAAGCAAUCCAAGGUGAGCUGGGCACUUGAGUUACAUGAGUGGUGGUGGUGGUGCACAGGAUACUAGAGAAAGCACACAGAAGCAAGUUUUGGAAGAAUGGAAAUUGCUGUUUUAUCCAACCUAGGCUGGAAGUGACAACCAGAGAUUUGUGAGAAAGUUUUCAAGAAACAGGCUGAGAUUUUUAUCUGGGAUAGACCUAAUGUAGAAAAGGGUUUCCAUCUGUCUGUCUGGAAUGGAGAGGAAGAUUUGGAAGUUACCUACAUAAAGCAGGGGUUCAACCUGAGUUUAUCAAUACAAUUAUUGAAGUCCUACAAAGUAAAUGAAUGGGGAUUUAGAAUAGAACAUCAUGACGUAUUCACAAAAAAAUCAAGAAUGAACAUGGGAAAAAUUCUCCUUUGAAGGCAAUACAAUGAGAGAAAGCCUCCACAAAUCACAUACAAGGAUAAUGAAGAAGGGAAGGAGUUACAGACAUUCAUCUCAAGCUUUCAGGAGAAUAUGAAAAACGAGGUCAGAGUGAGUCCUGAGGUGGCAAUUUGGGCAGCACUUGAGAGCUGUGGAAGUGCAGAGGGAGCUGAAGCAGGUGCACAGCAAACUGAGACAUUAAACAGAAUAGUGGGGGUGAGAAACUGAAGAAGUGUAUAGGACUAGGGCUGGGUUCUUCAUUUUGUUUUUAAGAUGGAAGAAGCUAAAGUGUGUUUGCCUUUGAGAGAAAAGAGUCAGCUGGGACUGAGAAGUAAAGGCAAAAGGUAAUUCAGGAGCCAAUUUAUCCUAACAUGUCCUCAAAAGAUUCUUUUGAGCUGCUUAGAGCAAACUCUUUGUAGCUUUGGGUUAAAGCCCAGGAGUGCACUUUUUAUCUAGAGGAUCUCUUGAUGACAACUCCAGUGCUGGAAAUGUACAUUCUUUUAAAUGUACAGACAUUUCAGCGAGUGCUAGAAAUUAAAAUCUGUCUGAGACACUGCUCUAUUUACACUGAUGAUGAGUGGUUGCCUGUAGCAAAUUGUUCCAGAUAGCCUCUGGAGACAGAGAUCAGGUAUGGUCAAAGGAAGAUAAAAUGUUUGGCGAGUGUGCAGGCAUACCAGGGGUUCAUAACCUUUCAUAGGGUCUAAACAGUUCCAGCCUUGUGACACACCACGAUCUGCCAGCACCCAGUCCUGCCAAGUGCCAGAAUUAUAUUGUAAAUCUCAUGAAGUCAUGCUUUCCUUAAAGUGUUCCAGUUCAUUCUCUUACAUUAGAAUAUCAGCUUUAAUUAAAAAAAAAAAAAAAAAAAAAAAAAAGCUCUAGUCUACAUAUUCAGAAAAAAAUCUUUAAAAAUAUCCCCUAAAGUCUUCGGAAACAUAAAUAAAAGAAUCACACAUAUAUUACUUUCUAAUACC